rnacentral:pre_miRNA from 1 species
UUUCUAAUGUAAGUAUGUCCCAUGCAAUAUUUGGAACAUAUACUUACACCAAAA